UACGUAGGGGGCAAGCGUUAUCCGGAUUCACUGGGUGUAAAGGGAGCGUAGACGGCGACGCAAGUCUGGAGUGAAAGCCCGGGGCCCAACCCCGGGACUGCUCUGGAAACUGCGUCGCUGGAGUACGGGAGGGGCAGGCGGAAUUCCUGGUGCAGCGGUGAAAUGCGUAGAUAUUCGGAGGAACACCGGUGGCGAAGGCGGCCAACUGGGCUUUAACUGACGCUGAGGCUCGAAAGUGUGGGGAGCAAACAGG
rnacentral:rRNA from 1 species